rnacentral:rRNA from 1 species
AAUAUUGCGCAAUGGAGGGAACUCUGACGCAGCGACGCCGCGUGAGCGAUGAAGGUCUUCGGAUCGUAAAGCUCUGUCCUUGGGGAAGAAGAUCUUCGGAUUUGACGGUACCCAAGUAGGAAGCCCCGGCUAACUACGUGCCAGCAGCCGCGGUAAUACGUAGGGGGCAAGCGUUGUCCGGAAUUACUGGGCGUAAAGGGUACGUAGGCGGCUAUAUAAGUCAGGUGUGAAAUACCAGUGCUUAACACUGGAAUUGCAUUUGAAACUGUGUAGCUUGAGUGCAGGAGAGGAAAGUGGAAUUCCUAGUGUAGCGGUGAAAUGCGUAGAUAUUAGGAGGAAUACCAGUGGCGAAGGCGACUUUCUGGACUUUUUCUGACGCUGAGGAACGAAAGCAUGGGGAGCAAACA